rnacentral:rRNA from 1 species
UACGUAGGGGGCAAGCGUUGUCCGGAAUCAUUGGGCGUAAAGCGCGUGUAGGCGGCCCGGUAAGUCCGCUGUGAAAGUCGGGGGCUCAACCCUCGAAUGCCGGUGGAUACUGUCGGGCUAGAGUACGGAAGAGGCGAGUGGAAUUCCUGGUGUAGCGGUGAAAUGCGCAGAUAUCAGGAGGAACACCGAUGGCGAAGGCAGGUCUCGUGGGCCACUACUGACGCUGAGAAGCGAAAGCGUGGGGAGCGAACAGG